rnacentral:tRNA from 1 species
GGGCCGUUAGCUCAAUUGGUAGAGCUGCGGACUUUUAAUCCGUCGGUUCUGGGUUCGAGCCCCAGGCGGCCCA